CGACCUGUCCGUCACGGUCUCCUGGUCGCCUGGUCUCCCUGCGCCUCAGGGGCAAAGUUAACGCGAAGUGCUGUCCUCUGCAGACCCGUCGGCCACAUCCGCAUAAUUCCCGCCCAAAUGAAUGUGAAUGAAACCUCAUACAACCUGCACAACGUACACCUACGACUGGCUACAUUCAGCACUCCUCACUGGCUACACGCAGCACUCCUCACUGCCAAACGAAGUCAUCCUGUGCGAUGGCAACUACUACUGUUGAAUGUGCUUAGCAUCAUGGAAGGCGGUUUCCCCGCAACAAAAGCAAACAAAACUCAUAAGAUUACCCAGACAUGAUGCACACAUACGUGCAGAUGUUUAUGAUACAGCAACGCAGCACACACAUGUACUCGCGUUCCGCACCCCCACCCUCCACACACAAACACACACACGCACACAAAACACGGUAUUGUCUAUCAGAAGCGGCAUCGGGACACAGCAGCAAGAAGCAAGGCCCGGCGCACCUGUCGCCAUGCCAGCGGUGGAGCACCCUGCGACGGCUGGUCUGCAGCACGUCCUGGGCUGAGAACACGUCCACGUCCAGCACCUGGGCAGGGCCACACGCCGGGCGCAGCUUCACAGGCUCUUGCGGUGGGUUGCCUUCCACCCUGGCCCACGCCACCACGCCGCGCGCCUUGACGUCCACGGGAAGCUGGUGCCAGAGCGUGGCCGACCGCUGGCGUAUGACGUGGUAGCCGCACAGCAGGACCAUCGCCGAGCGUUUGAGCUGCGGAAUGGCGGCGGACGUGCCUGUGCCACACCAGCAAUGCAGUGAUGGAGCUGUAUGUGAUGAACAGCAUGCUCCCAGGGUGGCAUCCGGGUGGCCAACUACCUCCGCAUUACACUAGGCUGUCGCACGAUCACAUGAUCACACACUGCUACGCCAGGGGUAACUGUCUGCUUGCGGCGAGCAAGCCUGCACCCACCCUUGCUGCUGGUCUUGGUCUCCACCAAGGUCAAGUCCGCCCAGCUGCCGGAGGCACGCAGCGAUAGUCUAUCCACCUCCAACUCAGAGACGGCCGGCGACAGGCAGAAGCCGCCACUGCCACCGCCCGCGCUCGCCCCGCCACCGCUGGCCUUGCCGGCGCUCGACCCGCCGCUGUGGCUGCCACACACUGCGACCGCAGGCUGCAGGCUGCUCAGCGCCGGCAUGAACAGCUCGCGUGCCAGCAACUGCCAGCGCUGGUCCGCCGUUCCGCGCAUGUACCUCUUCAGGGCACAGUAAAUGGCGAGCGAGGUUUUCGCGCCGUCCGCCGGUGACGACUUGACGCUGCUAGCUGGGCCUGAGCCCUGCUGCUGCUGCUCCUUGUGUGAUUUCCUUGUCGCCGUCGCUGCUGCUGCUGCUGCCACGGCGGCGGCGGCGGUCCACCCCCAGCAGCUUCCGUGCAGCCCCAAUUAGUGCCAGCGCGUCCUACAGCACGCUUUUGAACUUUGCGUCCAGCUUGGCGUCCAGCUUGGCGUCCUGAUCGCUGAACUUGGCGUCCAGCUUGGCGUUUUGCUCGCUGAACUUGGUGUCCAGCUUGGCGUUCAGGAACUCUGCCAGCGUCGCCCUCCCCUGAAAUGGAAAUACGAGUGAUGUGAGGCGCAUGAAAACUGGUGCAACGUCUUUGCAGGCGCAACGUCUUUGCAGGCUUUACUAGGGCUUCCACUCACGUCAUCAGGAGCCCCGAGCUCGCCCGCCGCAGCGGAAGCUGCCACUUUGGGCGUUCCGCGCAGUAAUUGAGCUCUCGAGCUUUGCAGCUGGAUGCGCAGAGCUGCGAAGCGGCCCGCAAAGCAAGAUUUGCGUCAUUCCGUUAAAGCCCUCGUUUGGGCGCCAGUCUUGCAAAGCGCACCUGUACAGCAUCCGCUGGAUGGCACGCGGUGGACGCACGAGGAGACAGCAGACGCAGGCGGGUUGACUGAUAGGCGCGAGCGCGUCGUUCGCGGCGGAGAGUUUACGUUCACGAACUGUAAGGGCAUGGCUACUGGGGUACUCCAGCAAAGGAAAAUACCAGGGGACUGCAGAUUACAGGAACGCUUGGAAGUGCUACGUGGAUUCACGGAGCUCGCGCUCGCACAAUGAGCCUCUUUCCAAUCGACUUUAGAAUGCUGACAAUGCUCGCCCGCAGUACCGCUGCCUUGUGGGAAUGUGCAAUAACAACACCAAGUAUUUCGGGAAACAUAUUGGGGCGGCCAAAAGCCGAGGUCGGACCCAUUUGGUCGGGGCCCGCCUUCCGCGAAGGUUGACACGCGGCAAACACCCAGCACGCCAACAGGCAGGCGUUUGUUGCCCCCCGCCCUUCCUCCCCCUCCCCCGUCCCGUGAGCUGGUUGCGCCACCGACGGCGGCGCUCAGCGGGGCCUUUGCUGCUUCCAGAGCCAUCCCCCUCUAAUUUGUGCGACCGAAUGCAAGCCAUGCUCGCGCCUAUGCCGCGCCUGCUAUCCACAAAAUACCGCCACCUUCAACUGCCACCACUGCCGUCCAUGUACCCUGCAGGUGCGCGCCAUCGCGAACCACCGAGCUCUCCCGCACGGCAUUGUGUGCUGUCUGUGACGUGUGGCCUGGCCGGGCGACCCGGAGUGCGAGGAGUGCGUUUCAGCGAUUUCAGCCCAGCUCAGCGGCACUACUCAGCAGUUCGUGGACCAUCUAGCCGCAGCACCAGCGCAUCAAACUUCGGUGGCGGUGGUAACGUGGUAUUGGUAAGGGGGGGCUGGGCACUACACGGCACGGGGCGCUGUCUUCCAACGAUCAUCGGUGCCUGGGCUGGGCUGGGCGCACGUGGGUCCUGGGACUGUUUUGGGACUAUUUGGGAUGGUUAUUUCAUCCCUUGCCAAGUUACGUCAACUGCUGCCACCGCGCACCCGCAUGCAGCCUGCCAACGCGCCGCCAACGCUGGCGACCAACCGCUGCGCGCCUUCGAGCUGUUCUUCCUGCAUGGUGGCUAGGAGGCGGCGCUGGCGGUGACGGGCGGGCCGCUGCUCUGGACCACGAUGGCACAGAACGUGCAGAGCCUGCGGUGAGCUGAGGAAGGAGGCCUUGGGGGGCGGGGACAUCUCAUCUGACAUAAAACCGUGGGGUUGGGGCAGCACGUGGCAAGCUGCUCCCUGAAAGGAAGCGAAGACAUCUGAGGUUGUAGGCUGCAUGUCUCCCACCCACCCCUUGUUCAGACGGGGCAGUUCCCCGGGGGCUCGACAGUGCGAUUGAGGCCAUCGACAAGCCGCGCUGCAGCUGUGGCUUGAGCUACAUGCAGAAUAUGUUGCGCCAGGCUGCUGAGAAGAGCACUGGUGCCGGCACGCGUGGACAAGUCUAAGCCCUUGAGCCGUCAAGCCCAGUAGCGAGUACAUAGUCGAGCACAUCUUAUCACUGGUUGACAUCUUAUCACUGGUUGUCAGGCUGUCCUUUUUCUUCAUCACCCACGCAGCCCUGCAAAACCCGAGCGUCAUCACUGCAACGCUCUUCAAUGUGUGUGACAUGUGCCCGUCACUACAACAUGCACCCUCACGUGCCCGCCACACUGCUGUGCGCCACAUUCUCCGCUGCAUCACGCGGGAAUUUCAUUCCGACAUUCCGACAAGUGUUCCCAGGUCACAGGAAAAGGGGCUGAGCCCCUCCACAGUCUGAGGCCGAACAACCUCAUCGCCCCAACAUAGCCGGGAUCGGUUUCCACAGGCACAUAGCCAAACCCUGUGCCUAGCAAUCGUGAUGCCACAGCAGAGCCAACGGCAGCCAGACGCAGCACAGUUCUCAACAGCCGCACUACUUGUCAUGCCGCUACGCAUGCCCUGCCAGCCCCACCGCGGACCGCUACCUAGACACCAGCCGGCUCCUCAGCCUGCGCGCUUGCGCCGCUUUUGGCACUUUUUGUCGACGCAGGCAUCAGGCAGGCACAGGCAGGCACAGGGACAGCUCGCCUGGUCGCCUGGUCUCCCUGUGCCUCAGGGGCAAAGUUAACGCGAAGUGCUAUCCUCUGCAGACCCGUCGGCCACAUCUGCAUAAUUCCCGCCCGAAUGAAUGUGAAUGAAACCUCAUACAACGUGCACGACAUACAUCUACGACUGGCUACAUUCAGCACUCCUCACUGGCUACACGCAGCACUCCUCACUGCCAAACGAAUUAAUCCUGUGCGACGGCAACUACUACUGUUGAAUGUGCUUAGCAUCAUGGAAGGCGGUUUCCCUGCAACAAGCAAACAAAACUCAUAAGAUUACCCAGACACGAUGCACACAUACGUGCAGAUGUUUAUGACACAGAAACGCAGCACACACAUGUACUCGCGUUCCGCACCCCCACCCUCCACACACAAACACACACACGCACACAAAACACGGUAUUGUCUAUCAGAAGCGGCAUCAGGACACAGCAGCAAGAAGCAAGGCCCGGCGCACCUGUCUCCAUGCCAGCAGUGGAGCACCCUGCGACGGCUGGUCUACAGCACGUCCUGGGCUGAGAACACGUCCACGUCCAGCACCUGGGCAGGGCCACACGCCGGGCGCAGCUUCACAGGCUCUUGCGGUGGGUUGCCUUCCACCCUGGCCCACGCCACCACGCCGCGCGCCUUGACGUCCACGGGAAGCUGGUGCCGGAGCACGGCCGACCGCUGGCGUAUGACGUGGUAGCCGCACAGCAGGACCAUCGCAGAGCGUUUGAGCUGCGGAAUGGCGGCGGACGUGCCUGUACAGCAUGGAGCCACACCAGCAAUGCAGUGAUGGAGCUGUAUGUGAUGAACAGCAUGCUCCCAGGGUGGCAUCCGGGUGGCCAACUACCUCCGCAUUACACUAGGCACGAUCACAUGAUCACACACUGCUACGCCAGGGGUAACUGUCUGCUUGCGGCGAGCAAGCCUGCACCCACCCUUGCUGCUGGNNNNNNNNNNNNNNNNNNNNNNNNNNNNNNNNNNNNNNNNNNNNNNNNNNNNNNNNNNNNNNNNNNNNNNNNNNNNNNNNNNNNNNNNNNNNNNNNNNNNCGCUGGCACUAAUAAUGGCAGAAGCGGAGGAGCCGCCGCUGCCGAGGUUGCGCAUACAUGCAGCGGCUGCGGCUGCGGCGCCGAACCCACCGAUGAUACCUUGUGAGCCCAACGCACUGGCAGCCGCUUCAGUAGCUCACUGCGUGCCGCCUCCAGCUUCUGCAGCUGCACCGCAUCCGUGACAGCAAGGAAGCCGAGCAGAGGUGAAUGCAGUCAAGUUUUGCUCAGGAAGGAGCUGCACACGGGGCAAGGGCCAGCAAGCAGGUAGCAUGCGUAGUUACGCCCGGUUGCCAUGCGCACAUAGCUGGCCCGGCGACAAACUGCAAACCAUACCCAUCAUGCAUGCAUUGAGCAACCCGAUACCUACGCCCAUUGGCACAUUGCUGCAGGGCAGCAGGCAGGCAGACCUAACCUGCUGUACGCACCUGAGCCAGCCCGCCCUCCACCUGCUCUGGCCCGGCCCGCUGGAGCAGGGCAAUCUGCUGCUGUAUCUCCGCGACCACUACCGCCAGGAAGCCGCGGUCCUGUGAGCAAGCAUGGUUGAGUUGCGCAUGUCCAUUCAAACAAGGGUUCCAGGACGGCAGUCAGCAUAUAAUCAAACUGCACCCAAAUGCUGUGGUCGCGCGUGUGGUCGUGGAAGAGGGAGGGAACAACCCGAGCGCACGCACGCGUACGGACCCCGGCGUGCCGCCGCCAGCUACGCACCUCCUCUGCAAGCCAAUCCAGCAGCGCCGCCACCGCAGCGUCCAGGUCAGCCUCGCUGCGCUGGGGGCCUGACAGCAGCACCGCCGUGAGGCUCCGUGCGCUGUUCAGCACUGUCCGCCGCCCAGACCUCUCGCCCAGCUUGCGCUCCAGGGACUGUUUACCAACGUGCAGGGGGACUUAGUGGAGAUCCUCCUGUCCGGCUAAAACCUCUCGCCCAGCUUGCGCUCCAGGUAGCCGGACAGGAGGAUCUCCACUAAGUCCCCCUGCACGUUGGUAAACAGCUAAUUAUGGCAGAAGCGGAGGAGCCGCCGCUGCCGAGGUUGCGCAUACAUGCAGCGGCUGCGGCUGCGGCGCCGAACCCACCGAUGAUGCGGUGUGAGCCCAACGCACUGGCAGCCGCUUCAGUAGCUCACUGCGUGCCGCCUCCAGCUUCUGCAGCUGCACCGCAUCCGUGACAGCAAGGAAGCCGAGCAGAGGUGAAUGCAGUCAAGUUUUGCUCAGGAAGGAGCUGCACACGGGGCAAGGGCCAGCAAGCAGGUAGCAUGCGUAGUUACGCCCGGUUGCCAUGCGCACAUAGCUGGCCCGGCGACAAACUGCAAACCAUACCCAUCAUGCAUGCAUUGAGCAACCUGAUACCUACGCCCAUUGGCACAUUGGUGCAGGGCAGCAGGCAGGCAGACCUAACCUGCUGUAUGCACCUGAGCCAGCCCGCCCUCCACCUGCUCCCGCCCGGCCCGCUUGAGCAGGGCGAUCUGCUGCUGUAUCUCCGCGACCAGUACCGCCAGGAAGCCGCGAUCCUGCGAGCAAGCAUCAUGGUUAAGUCGCGCAUGUCCAUUCAAACAAGGGUUCAAGGAAGGCAGUCAGCAUAUAAUCAAACUGCACCCAAAUGCUGUGGUCGCGCAUGUGGUUGUGGAGGCGGGAGGGAACAACUCGAGCGCACGCACGCGUACGUACGGACCCUGGCGUGCCGCCGCCAGCUACGCACCUCCUCUGCAAACCAAUCCAGCAGCGUCCAGGUCAGCCUCGCUGCGCUGGGGGCCUGGCAGCAGCGCCGCCGCGAGGCUCCGUGCGCUGUCCAGCACUGCCCGCCGCCCUCUCGCCCAGCUUGCGGCCUAGGUAGCCGGACAGGAGGAUCUUCAGGUCUCCCUGCACUUUAGUGAACCGUCCCUGCGCCUGCAGCACGCUUUUGAACUUUGCGUCCAGCUUGGCGUUCUGCUCGCUGAACAUGGCGUCCAACAUAGUGCUGAACAUGGCGUCCAACAUAGUGUUCUGCUCGCUGAACUUGGCGUCCAGCUCGGUUUUCUGCUCGCUGAACUUGGCAUCCAGCUUUGUGUUCUGCUCGCUGAACUUGGCGUCCAGCUUGGCAUUCUGCUCGCUGAACUUGGCGUCCAGCUUUGUGUUCUGCUCGCUGAACUUGGCGUCCAGCUUGGCGUUCUGCUCGCUGAACUUGGCGUCCAGCUUUGUGUUCUGCUCGCUGAACUUGGCGUCCAGCUUUGUGUUCUGCUCGCUGAACUUGGCGUCCAGCUUUGUGUUCUGCUCGCUGAACUUGGCGUCCAACAUAGUGUUCUGCUCGCUGAACUUGGCGUCCAGCUUGGUUAUCAGCACCGCCUUCAGGAACUCUGCCAGCGCCGCCCUCCCCUGCAAUGGAAAUAUGAGUGAUGUGAGGCGCAUGAAAACUGGUGCAACGUCUUUGCAGGCUUUACUAGGGCUUCCACUCACGUCAUCAGGAGCCCCGGGCUCGCCCGCCACAGCGGAAGCUGCCACUUUGAGCGUUCCGCGCAAUGGUUGAGCUCUCGAGCGUUGCGGCUGGAUGCGCAGAGCUGUGAAGCGGCCCGCACAGCAAGAUUUGCGUCAGUCCGUUUCAGCCCACGUUUGGGCGCCAGUCUUGCAAAGCGCACCUGUACAGCAUCCACUGGAUGGCGCGCGGUGGACGCACGAGGAGACAGCAGACGCAGGAGGGUUGACUGAUAGGCGCGAGCGCGUCGUUCGCAUCGGAGAGUUUACGUUCACGGCCUGUAAGAGCAUGGCUACUGGGGUACUGCAGCAAUGGAAGAUACCGGGGGACUGCAGAGUACAGGAACGCUUGGAAGUGCUACGUGGAUUCACGGAACUCGCUGUCGCGGUCCGCAUCUGCAAGCUGUCACCGCACAAACAACGAGACUGGAAACGCAAAGUACACGCGCGGCGCACGCCUAGCUACCUACCUAUUCCACCGUUUCCUGCCGUGCUGCCUGCAGGCCGCCUGUGAAGUCCCCGCAAGGGCCGCGCACCUUCUCGGCCGCCGUGCGGCGUGAGCUGUUCAAGCGGCAGCCCGCCCCCACCUGCGGCUGGUGCGGCGAGCCCAUAGUCGACGUCACGGACGCCGAGGUGGACCACGUCGUGCCGUACGCCCAAGGCGGUGCAACAACGCUCGACAACGCGCAGCUGCUGCACGCCCUGUGCAACCGGCAGCGCGGUCAGAAGCCCAUGAGCGCAGCACCGGCUGCGGCGGCACAGGCUGCCGGAGGCAGGGCGGCCGGCGAGGGGCGUGAGGAGGCUGCGGCUGCACAGGCUGCGGCUGCAGCAGAGGCUGCGGCGGCAGAGGCUGCGGCGGCAGAGGCUGCGGCGGCACAGGCUGUGGCGGCGGAAAGGACGGCGGCGGCACCGGCCAAGCUGGUAAAGGCUGCGGCGGCACAGGCUGCGGCGGAAAGGGCAGCGGCAGCACAGGCGGCGUCACAGGCUGCGGCGGAAAGGGCUGCGGCGUCACAUGCUGCGGUGGCAAGGGCUGCGGCGGCACAGGCUGCAGAGCACGAGGCGUCAGAGUUGAGAAAGGAUGAGAUAGUCAAGGGGAUGGUGCUGCGGCAGGAGCUAAAGGGUACGACAUGGGUGCAGUGGGGGCUGCUGGCGGCGGCGGCGGCGGGCGUGGUGCUGGUACUCGUGGCGCGGUAAUGCAGCUUGGGCCUUGCCGGCGGGACGUAGGUGGUGUGCUGUGCCACAUGAGGUGUUACGCGAGUAGACGAAGGAUGCGCGGUGAACGAGGGUUGAGUGCGUGCGAGCAUGAGUGUGGGCAUUUCGCGAAAAUCAGCCCCCCAAACCCCAAACCCCCGUCCCGUGAGCCAUCCCCCUCUAAUAUGUGCGACCGAAUGCAAGCCAUGCUCGCGCCUAUGCCGCGCCUUCUAUCCACAAACUACCGCCACCUUCAACUGCCACCACCGCCGUCCAUGUACCCUGCAGGUGCGCGCCAUCGCGAACCACCUAGCUCUCCCGCACGGCAUUGUGUGCUGUCUGUGACGUGUGGCCUGGCCGGGCGACCCGGAGUGCGAGGAGUGCGUUUCAACGAUUUCAGCCCAGCUCAGCGGCACUACUCAGUUCGUGGACCAUCCAGCCGCAGCACCAGCGCAUCAAACUUCGGCGGUGGUAACGUGGUAUUGGUAAGGCCGUAAGGGGGGGCUGGGCACUACACGGCACGGGGCGCUGUCUUCCAACGAUCAUCGGUGCCUGGGCUGGGCUGGGCGCACGUCGGUCCUGGGACUGUUUUGGGACUAUUUGGGACGGUUAUUUCAUCCCUUGCCAUGUUACGUCGAGUGCUGCCACCGCGCACCCGCACGCACCCUGCCAACGCGCCGCCAACGCUGGCGGCCAACCGCUGCGCGCCUUCGAGCUAUUCUUCCAAUCUUCCUGCAUGGUGGCUGGGAGGCGGCGCUGGCGGCGACAGGCGGGCCGCUGCUCUGGACCACCAUGGCACAGAACGUGCAGAGCCUGCGGUGAGCUGAGGGAGGAGGCCUUGGGGGGCGGGGACAUCUCAUCUGACAUAAGACCGCGGGGUUGGGGCAGCACAUGGCAAGCUGCUCCCUGAAAGGAAGCGAAGACAUCUGAGGUUGCAGGGUGCAUGUCUCCCAGCCACCCCUUGUUCAGACGGGGCAGUUCCCCGGGGGCUCAACAGUGCGAUUGAGGCCAUCGACAAGCCGCGCUGCAGCUGUGGCUGAGCUACAUGCAGAAUGUGUUGCGCCAGGCUGCUGAAAAGAGCACUGGUGCCGGCACGCGUGGACAAGUCUAAGCCCUUGAGCCGUCAAGCCCAGUAGCGAGUACAUAGUCGAGCACAUCUUAUCACUGGUUGACAUCUUAUCACUGGUUGACAUCUUAUCACUGGUGGUCAGGCUGUUCUUUGUUCUUCAUCACGCACGCAGCCCUGCAAAACCCGAGCGUCAUCACUGUAACGCUCUUCAAUGUGUGUUACAUGUGCCCGUCACUACAACAUGCACCCUCACGUGCCCGCCACACUGCUUUGCGCCACAUUCUCCGCUGCAUCACGCGGGAAUUUCAUUCCGACAAGUGUUUCCGACAAGUGUUUCCCGGUCACGGGAAAAGGGGCUUAGCCCCUCCACAGUCUGAGGCCGAACAACCUCAUCGCCCCAACAUAGCCGGGAUCGGUUUCCACAGGCACAUAUCCAAACCCGGUGCCUAGCAAUCGCGAUGCCACAGCAGAGCCAACCGCAGCCAGACGCAGCACAGUUGUCGACAGCCGCACUACUUGUCAUGCCGCUACGCAUGCCCUGGCCAGCCCCACCGCGGACCGCUACCUAGACACCAGCCGGCUCCUCAGCCUGCGCGCUUGCGCCGCUUUUGGCACUUUUUGUCGACGCAGGCAUCAGGCAGGCACAGGCAGGCAGGCGACCUGUCCGUCACGGUCUCCUGGUCGCCUGGUCUCCCUGCGCCUCAGGGGCAAAGUUAACGCGAAGUGCUGUCCUCUGCAGACCCGUCGGCCACAUCCGCAUAAUUCCCGCCCAAAUGAAUGUGAAUGAAACCUCAUACAACCUGCACAACGUACACCUACGACUGGCUACAUUCAGCACUCCUCACUGGCUACACGCAGCACUCCUCACUGCCAAACGAAGUCAUCCUGUGCGAUGGCAACUACUACUGUUGAAUGUGCUUAGCAUCAUGGAAGGCGGUUUCCCCGCAACAAAAGCAAACAAAACUCAUAAGAUUACCCAGACACGAUGCACACAUACGUGCAGAUGUUUAUGAUACAGCAACGCAGCACACACAUGUACUCGCGUUCCGCACCCCCACCCUCCACACACAAACACACACACGCACACAAAACACGGUAUUGUCUAUCAGAAGCGGCAUCGGGACACAGCAGCAAGAAGCAAGGCCCGGCGCAC
rnacentral:lncRNA from 1 species